CGCCUGUUUAUCAAAAACAUCGCCUCUUGUAAGCUAAAAAUAAGAGGUCCCGCCUGCCCAGUGACAACAAGUUAAACGGCCGCGGUAUUUUGACCGUGCAAAGGUAGCGCAAUCACUUGUCUUUUAAAUGAAGACCCGUAUGAAUGGCACAACGAGGGCCUAACUGUCUCCUUUUUCAAGUCAAUGAAAUUGAUCUCCCCGUGCAGAAGCGGGGAUAAGCCCAUAAGACGAGAAGACCCUAUGGAGCUUUAGACACCAAAACAGACUUUGUUAAACACCCCUAGAUACAGGGCAUAACCAAAAGGACCCUGCUCUGAUGUCUUUGGUUGGGGCGACCGCGGGGAAUGCAAAUCCCCCAUGUGGACUGGGAGAACCUCUCCUACAGCCAAGAGCUACAGCUCUAAGCAAUAGAACUUCUAACCUAAAGAUCCGGCAAAGCCGAUCAACGAACCGAGUUACCCUAGGGAUAACAGCGCAAUCCCCUUCUAGAGCCCAUAUCGACAAGGGGGUUUACGACCUCGAUGUUGGAUCAGGACAUCCUAAUGGUGCAGCCGCUAUUAAGGGUUCGUUUGUUCAACGAUUAAAGUCCUACGUGAUCUGAGUUCAGAC
rnacentral:rRNA from 1 species